CAAACCCCGCCUGUUUACCAAAAACAUCACCUCUAGCAUUAUCAGUAUUAGAGGCACUGCCUGCCCAGUGACAUUAGUUAAACGGCCGCGGUAUCCUGACCGUGCAAAGGUAGCAUAAUCAUUUGUUCCUUAAUUAGGGACUUGUAUGAAUGGCCCCACGAGGGUUUAACUGUCUCUUACUUUCAAUCAGUGAAAUUGACCUUCCCGUGAAGAGGCGGGAAUAUAAAAAUAAGACGAGAAGACCCUAUGGAGCUUAAAUUAAUAUGCUCAACAAAAUUUAAAUUCAACCCAACAGGAAUAAUUAUAAUUUAACUGAGCAAUAAAUUUUGGUUGGGGUGACCUCGGAGUAUAACAGAACCUCCGAGUGAUUUUAACCAAGACUUACCCGUCAAGGUUACGUAACUUAUUGAUCCAAUCAUAUUGAUCAACGAAACAAGUUACCCUAGGGAUAACAGCGCAAUCCUAUUUGAGAGUUCAUAUCGACAAUAGGGUUUACGACCUCGAUGUUGGAUCAGGACACCCAAAUGGUGCAGCAGCUAUUAAAGGUUCGUUUGUUCAACGAUUAAAGUCC
rnacentral:rRNA from 1 species